GACGUAGGGCGCGAGCGUUGUCCGGAUUUAUUGGGCGUAAAGAGCUCGUAGGCGGCUUGUCGCGUCGUCUGUGAAAUCCCGCGGCUCAACUGCGGGCUGCAGUCGAUACGGGCAGGCUGGAGUUCGGUAGGGGAGACUGGAAUUCCUGGUGUAGCGGUGAAAUGCGCAGAUAUCAGGAGGAACACCGGUGGCGAAGGCGGGUCUCUGGGCCGAUACUGACGCUGAGGAGCGAAAGCGUGGGGAGCGAACAGG
rnacentral:rRNA from 1 species